rnacentral:rRNA from 1 species
CGGCGUGCCUGAUACAUGCAAGUCGAACGCACUCUCGUUUAGAUUGAAGGAGCUUGCUCCUGAUUGAUAAACAUUUGAGUGAGUGGCGGACGGGUGAGUAACACGUGGGUAACCUGCCCUAAAGUGGGGGAUAACAUUUGGAAACAGAUGCUAAUACCGCAUAAAACCUAACACCGCAUGGUGUAGGGUUGAAGGAUGGUUUCGGCUAUCACUUUAGGAUGGACCCGCGGUGCAUUAGUUAGUUGGUGAGGUAAAGGCUCACCAAGACCGUGAUGCAUAGCCGACCUGAGAGGGUAAUCGGCCACACUGGGACUGAGACACGGCCCAGACUCCUACGGGAGGCAGCAGUAGGGAAUCUUCCACAAUGGACGAAAGUCUGAUGGAGCAACGCCGCGUGAGUGAAGAAGGUUUUCGGAUCGUAAAACUCUGUUGUUGGAGAAGAAUGUAUCUGAUAGUAACUGAUCAGGUAGUGACGGUAUCCAACCAGAAAGCCACGGCUAACUACGUG